CUUGUAGGUGGCCAACUAAGUCAGACGUGAAAUCCCUCGGCUUAACCGGGGAACUGCGUCUGAUACUGGAUGGCUGGAGUUUGGGAGAGGGAUGCGGAAUUCCAGGUGUAGCGGUGAAAUGCGUAGAUAUCUGGAGGAACACCGGUGGCGAAGGCGGCAUCCUGGACCAACACUGACACUGAAAAGCGAAAGCCAGGGGAGCAAACG
rnacentral:rRNA from 1 species